GACGAACGCUGGCGGCGUGCUUAACACAUGCAAGUCGAACGAAGUGUCGAACGGGUGAGUAACGCGUAAUCAACCUGCCCUUCAGUGGGGGACAACAGUUGGAAACGACUGCUAAUACCGCAUACUGAAGGAGGGGAUUGCGUCUGAUUAGGUGGUUGGAGGGGUAACGGCCCACCAAGGCGAUGAUCAGUAGCCGGGCUGAGAGGAUGAACGGGCAAAAGGGGACUUAGACACGGCCCAGGCUCCUACGGGAGGCAGCAGUGGGGAAUCUUCCGCAAUGGACGAAAGUCUGACGGAGCAACGCCGCGGGAGUGAUGACGGCCGUCGGGUUGUAAAGCUCUGUUAAUCGGGACGCGGUACCGGAAUAGAAAGCCACGGCUAACUACGUGCCAGCAGCCGCGGUAAUAC
rnacentral:rRNA from 1 species